UACGUAGGGGGCUAGCGUUGUCCGGAAUCAUUGGGCGUAAAGCGCGUGUAGGCGGUCCGGUAAGUCCGCUGUGAAAGUCGAGGGCUCAACCCUCGAAUGCCGGUGGAUACUGUCGGGCUUGAGUACGGGAGAGGCGAGUGGAAUUCCUGGUGUAGCGGUGAAAUGCGCAGAUAUCAGGAGGAACACCGAUUGCGAAGGCAGCUCGCUGGAACGUUGCUGACGCUGAGACGCGAAAGCGUGGGGAGCAAACAGG
rnacentral:rRNA from 1 species